UCCUGCCAGAACCGAGCGGAGAUCAUCUGGAGCCGGGUCCCGGCGAUUACCCUGCGCGGCGCCAAUGGAGCCCGAGGCGGCGGUGUUGGCACAGCUGCAGCUGCAGCUCCUCGUCCUCGUCUCUGAGUUCCGCCAUCUCCGCGAGCGGGAGCGCGGCGCCCGCGAGGAGCUCCGAGACGCCGGCCAGAGGUGGGAGGCGGCGGCGGCGGAACAACGUAGGGAGGCCCGGGAGCUGCGCGUGGAGGUGGCCUCGCGGGACGACUCGCUACGGAGGCUCGAGGCCAGGAUAAAAUGCCUUGAGAAUGAGAAUGAGCAGCUGGAGAAAAACGAAAACAACUUGAAAGAAAGCAUGGAUGUGCUGCUUCAAUCCAGGGAGGCUUUCAUAAAACACUAUGAGGCAGGGGUUUUAGCUUAGGUUCUGAAUCAACCUUCAACCUGUGCAUGGAAGCAAACUGACAUUUGGCUCACAUACCAUGUUCGUAGGCAGGACUCUACUUGUUCUAUGCAGUGGACAAUCCAGCUGAAGGAUAAACAGAUUGCUGUAAUGUCAGAGAAAUUGAAUUCACAUCUUGUUUUGUUUAGUUCGGUAGAAAAGGAAGUUGCUGCUGUGAAACAAGUACUAGGUGAUGUGCAUUGUCUAGUUGGUGAGAAGGAAAAUGUAGUUGCUGACUUGAAGGAUAAAGUCCAAAGGAUUUCUGUGCUUGAGAAAGAUUUUGUAGAGAAUCUUAAUUUCUUGGAAAGCAAAAUCAGUGCAUACCAGCUUGAACUCCGUAGUAGGGCGAGGAUCAUAUAUGAGUUAAAAAAUCGCCUUCAGGAUGAGAAGCUUAACAGCAGUUUUCAGCCCCAUCUGGAAGAACUUAAUAAAACUUUGUUGGUGAAGGAUUACGCUAUUGAUAGAUUAACUUCAGAGAAUCAGGUGAUUCUGUUGCCAAUGUUUCUGAUUUCAGGUUGCCUUGAAGAUCCCAAUUGAAUGCCUAUUUUUUUGCAGGCAAUGCGUUUGGAACUUCAUAACAUGGAAAUUGCUUUACAGAAAUUUCAAGAUUUAUUCAGUAGUAUUGGGCAUGAGGGAAUGAAUAGUUUUUCAGCAAUUUCUGAAAAUCAGGACGUACAGGAUGUGAAUAAUGAACAACAUGAAAGGGUUCCAGGUACACAAUGUGGUCUAGCAAAUGAGCAUACCUUGGUAACUGCAGUUGUCAAAGAAGCCACCACACAAAAUGUAGAUCACCAGUUGGAAACUGAUCCAGGCAGCAUGCAAGUACAAAGCCCAGUGCACUUCAAGUCUGGUGCAAUGCCAUCUCCGGAGCUAGUAGCUGCAAAUACAGAAAAAGCUGACAGCCUUCUUGAACCCAAUGUAGACAUUGGCAUGGGCAGUUUAUCUCCUGCACGACCAACAGAUUGUUUGAAUAUGGAUCUUGACACGGAGAGUCAGUCCUGACAAUGCAAUUUAUAUCCCUUCACACCUGGUAUUCGGAUACGUAUAUUUAACAAUCUCGUAGUUGGUUGUGGAGCAUAUUUUAUUAUUUUCUUGUAGUUGAUCAACUGUCUUGUGUGCGUAGCCUGUUUAGUUAGCCACUAAAGAGAUAGAUCAGGUAGUGUAAAGAGCAUCUUGGCUCAUCUCUCUACCGCCACAAUGUCCGAGAUUCGGAUGGCAGCUCAGCUGAUGAGACCGAGGAGAAAGAAAUGAUAGCUGUCAUUGUCUCUUGGGAUAAAUCUGAGGGCUCUUAUUGGAGGAGAUGAAAAAAACAGACUCUUAAAAAUAGGAGGGGCUCUCAAAAGAAAAAUAGAGAGCUAUAUUUCGAGGGCUGUUGCUAGACUGGAGAUGCUCUAAGGUGUAUUUGUUUUUUGGCUUUUGUUCUAAGACUGUCUCCAACAACGUUCUUUAUAUUCAUCCUCUAUAUCUGUCUUUUACAGUCUUC